rnacentral:tRNA from 1 species
GGAUUGUGGCUCAGCGGUAGAGCACUCAUCUAGCAUGUAUGUGCGAGGCCCUGGGUUCAAUCCUCAGCACCA